AGGCAAUAUUACAAAUGCCACAGGAAGAUCACAGAACAAGAAAUAAAAUAAUACUAAAAGAGCUUAGAACACAAAGGGAGCUCGGGGCUGGGAGGUCUGAGAGUCUCAGAAUGUGGUGGCAGCAGGUGACAGUUGGAAUUUUACGGUUAGAAGAAAUGUGCACGGAAGAUACUGCAUACCACUAUCUACAUAGGAGGUUUUCUAUUGAUGAAGUCUCGUUCUAUCGCCCAGGCUGGAGUGCAGUGGCGUGAUCUCAGCUCACUGGAACCUCCACGUCCUGGCUUCCAGUGAUUCUCCUGCUUCAGCCUCCUGAGUAGCUGGGAUUACAGGCACCCGCCACGACGCCUGGCAAAUUUUUGUAUUUUUAGUAGAGACAGGGUUUCACCAUGUUGGCCAGGCUGGUCUUGAACUCCUGACCUGACUGAAGCAAACUGCCCGCCUCGGCCUCCCAAAGUGCUGGGAUUAGAGGUGUGAGCUACUGCGCCCAGCCAAAUCUAUUUUUUAAACAAUAGAACCCCUGAUUUAAUUGAUACCUGACAUGGAAGUCUAACACUCACAGCAGAUAAAGUGAAAUUGCUAUGCCUAGAAUGUGUGUGGGAGUGUGGGGGGACAAGAGCCCUUUCCACUCAGCUCUCUCCCUUUUCUCUGUGCCCUCCGCAAUCCCUGCAGCCCUGGAGGGCUUUGAAACACUUGAAGGAUCCACUGGACACAGACUGAAAACCACUAAUUUCUAAGUCCUAAUGGAAAACUACCGAGGGUUUGAGCAAGAGUGUUAUUUAAUCGAAGCACUAUUUUAGGAAGAUAAAUCUGACAAGAUGGAUUGUAGAGAAGCCAAGAAGCAGGGAGACCAAUUAAGAGAUUAUUGAAAAAAUUCAGGCCAAAUUAACAUAGGUUCUGGGGAAUGACUGAAGGUGGGGGUAAAAAGAGAGAGACACCUGGGAUGGCUUCAAGGUUUAAUGCUGCACGACUGCAACAUUAAUUAAUAGACUGAAGAUACCUGUAAGGUCUCCUGGAUCAUCCCUCUUUUAUGGGAGGCAAAACGUCUCCAAAAUGACCACAAGGUGCCUCUGUUCUUUAAGAGGGCAGUCAACUGUUUAACAUUUUUCCAAAAAUGUACAUUUUACCUCAGUUGAUAAAUUAUAUGUGCUCCUUAACAAGCUUGUUUAGAAAGUUGUUUGUUAUGGAACUGACUUACACAAACCAUGCAUGCU
rnacentral:lncRNA from 10 species